rfam:Mus musculus chromosome 13, GRC primary reference assembly.
ACAAAGGCUCUUUUCAGAGCCACCCACAUCUUUCCAUAAAAUGAG